rnacentral:rRNA from 1 species
GACGAACGCUGGCGGCGUGCCUAAUACAUGCAAGUAGAACGCUGAAGGAGGAGCUUGCUCUUCUGGAUGAGUUGCGAACGGGUGAGUAACGCGUAGGUAACCUGCCUGGUAGCGGGGGUUAACUAUUGGAAACGAUAGCUAAUACCGCAUAACAGUAGAUGUUGCAUGACAUUUGCUUAAAAGGUGCAAUUGCACCACUACCAGAUGGACCUGCGUUGUAUUAGCUAGUUGGUGGGGUAACGGCUCACCAAGGCGACGAUACAUAGCCGACCUGAGAGGGUGAUCGGCCACACUGGGACUGAGACACGGCCCAGACUCCUACGGGAGGCAGCAGUAGGGAAUCUUCGGCAAUGGACGGAAGUCUGACCGAGCAACGCCGCGUGAGUGAAGAAGGUUUUCGGAUCGUAAAGCUCUGUUGUAAGAGAAGAACGAGUGUGAGAGUGGAAAGUUCACACUGUGACGGUAGCUUACCAGAAAGGGACGGCUAACUACGUG